rnacentral:rRNA from 1 species
AUUGAACGCUGGCGGCAGGCCUAACACAUGCAAGUCGAACGGUAGCACAGAGAGCUUGCUCUCGGGUGACGAGUGGCGGACGGGUGAGUAAUGUCUGGGAAACUGCCCGAUGGAGGGGGAUAACUACUGGAAACGGUAGCUAAUACCGCAUAACGUCGCAAGACCAAAGUGGGGGACCUUCGGGCCUCACACCAUCGGAUGUGCCCAGAUGGGAUUAGCUAGUAGGUGGGAUAAUGGCUCACCUAGGCGACGAUCCCUAGCUGGUCUGAGAGGAUGACCAGCCACACUGGAACUGCGACACGGUCCAGACUCCUACGGGAGGCAGCAGUGGGGAAUAUUGCACAAUGGGCGCAAGCCUGAUGCAGCCAUGCCGCGUGUAUGAAGAAGGCCUUCGGGUUGUAAAGUACUUUCAGCGGGGAGGAAGGCGGUGAAGUUAAUAGCUUCACCGAUUGACGUUACCCGCAGAAGAAGCACCGGCUAACUCCGUGCCAGCAGCCGCCGUAA